rnacentral:snoRNA from 1 species
UCAUGUGACUAUGAUGAUAAAUGCUAUCCCAGCUCUAUGAGACCGCAAGGUCCGGGAAUAUAACUAGUUCCAACACACAUUUGUCUGAGUCUCUGA